GUGGGGAAUAUUGCACAAUGGGGGAAACCCUGAUGCAGCGACGCCGCGUGAGGGAAGAAGGUUUUCGGAUUGUAAACCUCUGUCUUUGGUGACGAUAAUGACGGUAACCAAAGAGGAAGCUACGGCUAACUACGUGCCAGCAGCCGCGGUAAUACGUAGGUAGCGAGCGUUGUCCGGAAUUACUGGGUGUAAAGGGAGCGUAGGCGGGAAGACAAGUUGAAUGUUUAAACUACCGGCUUAACCGGUAAUCGCGUUCAAAACUGUUUUUCUUGAGUGAAGUAGAGGCAGGCGGAAUUCCUAGUGUAGCGGUGAAAUGCGUAGAUAUUAGGAGGAACACCAGUGGCGAAGGCGGCCUGCUGGGCUUUAACUGACGCUGAGGCUCGAAAGCGUGGGUAGCAAACAGGA
rnacentral:rRNA from 1 species